rnacentral:misc_RNA from 1 species
AAGGAUCACUAACUUAAGUGUGGUUUGGGUGGGGUGGUGGUGUUGGGUGUGGUUUGGGUGAUGGAGUUGGAAGCGAGGUGUUGACUUUCGAGGUUAGCAUUUGGCGUUCGGCAGCAGCACUUGAUACAACAACAGCAUCAUCGCAACAGCCAAUACAACACACAUUGCGGCGGCAGCUGAAGGGCUGCUGUUGGGCGCGGCUAGGGUUGGCGUGGGAAACCACACCGCCAGAGCAGCGCCACAUUGACACACGCGUGUUUGCGGGUUGACAUGGAGCAGAACGAAAUACAACUUUUAACAAUGGAUCUCUUGGCUCUC